UACGAAGGGGGCUAGCGUUGUUCGGAAUCACUGGGCGUAAAGCGCACGUAGGCGGAUUGUUAAGUCGGGGGUGAAAUCCUGAGGCUCAACCUCAGAGCUGCCUCCGAUACUGGCAAUCUCGAGUUCGGAAGAGGUUGGUGGAACAGCUAGUGUAGAGGUGAAAUUCGUAGAUAUUAGCUAGAACACCAGUGGCGAAGGCGGCCAACUGGUCCGACACUGACGCUGAGGUGCGAAAGCGUGGGGAGCAAACAGG
rnacentral:rRNA from 1 species